GAUGAACGCUAGCUACAGGCUUAACACAUGCAAGUCGAGGGGAAACGAUAGGGAAAGCUUGCUUUUUCUAGGCGUCGACCGGCGCACGGGUGAGUAACGCGUAUCCAACCUGCCCAUCACUUGGGGAUAACCUUGCGAAAGUAAGACUAAUACCCAAUGACGUCUCUAGAAGACAUCUGAAGGAGAUUAAAGAUUUCUCGGUGAUGGAUGGGGAUGCGUCUGCUUAGCUUGUUGGCGGGGUAACGGCCCACCAAGGCGACGAUCAGUAGGGGUUCUGAGAGGAAGGUCCCCCACAUUGGAACUGAGACACGGUCCAGACUCCUACGAGAGGCAGCAGUGAGGAAGAUUGGUCAAUGGACGAGAGUCUGAACCAGCCAAGUAGCGUGCAGGAAGACGGCCCUAUGGGUUGUAAACUGCUUUUAUAAGGGAAUAAAGUGAGUCUCGUGAGACUUUUUGCAUGUACCUUAUGAAUAAGGACCGGCUAAUUCCGUGCCAGCAGCCGCCGUAA
rnacentral:rRNA from 1 species